rnacentral:rRNA from 1 species
AACGAACGCUGGCGGCAUGCCUAACACAUGCAAGUCGAACGAGACCUUCGGGUCUAGUGGCGCACGGGUGCGUAACGCGUGGGAACCUGCCCUUAGGUUCGGAAUAACUCCCCGAAAGGGGUGCUAAUACCGGAUAAUGUCUUCGGACCAAAGAUUUAUCGCCUUUGGAUGGGCCCGCGUUGGAUUAGCUAGUUGGUAGGGUAAAAGCCUACCAAGGCGACGAUCCAUAGCUGGUCUGAGAGGAUGAUCAGCCACACUGGGACUGAGACACGGCCCAGACUCCUACGGAAGGCAGCAGUGGUGAAUAUUGGACAAUGGGCGAAAGCCUGAUCCAGCAAUGCCGCGUGAGUGAUGAAGGCCUUAGGUUUGUAAAGCUCUUUUACCCGGGAUGAUAAUGACAGUACCGGGAGAAUAAGCUCCGGCUAACUCCGU